UACGGGGGGGGUAAGCGUUGUUCGGAAUUACUGGGCGUAAAGGGCUCGUGGGCGGCCAACUAAGUCAUACGUGAAAUCCCUCAGCUUAACUGGGGAACUGCGUGUGAUACUGGAUGGCUUGGAUUUGGGAGAGGGAUGCGGAAUUCCAGGUGUAGCGGUGAAAUGCGUAGAUAUCUGGAGGAACACCGGUGGCGAAGGCGGCAUCCUGGACCAAUAUUGACGCUGAGGAGCGAAAGCCAGGGGAGCAAACGGG
rnacentral:rRNA from 1 species